GCCGGCGUGGCGGAAUUGGCAGACGCGCAGGACUUAAAAUCCUGUGGUAGCGAUAUCGUACCGGUUCGACCCCGGUCGCCGGCA
rnacentral:tRNA from 1 species